rnacentral:pre_miRNA from 16 species
AACUGCUUGGCACUCGCGAACACCGCGCUUCACAUAUGAAAGAUGUCGCGGCGUUGGCUUGGUGCCAAACAGGAU